UACGUAGGGUGCAAGCGUGUCCGGAAUUAUUGGGCGUAAAGAGCUCGUAGGCGGUUUGUUGCGUCGGCUGUGAAAUCCCGAGGCUCAACCUCGGGUCUGCAGUCGAUACGAGCAAACUAGAGUGUUGCAGGGGAGACUGGAAUUCCUGGUGUAGCGGUGAAAUGCGCAGAGUAUCAGGAGGAACACCGGUGGCGAAGGCGGGUCUCUGGGCAACAACUGACGUGGAGGAGCGAAAGCCGUGGGGAGCGAACAGG
rnacentral:rRNA from 1 species